UUGGAAUGAAGAAAUAAGAACGCACUACAUGCUCUCAUAAUUGAUGGCACAAGCCUCAUUGAAGUCAUGUGCUUUGUAUGCUGUUUCCUAUCCUUUAUAGUUUUUUGAUAUGGCAGCCUUUCUUUUAAAUUUGUAAUCUUAUAUAUUUUGUUUACAGGUACACAUGAAAUUGCACUGUUGAACAUGAAAGGAUACUCUGUUGCAGCAUGCUUAGAGAUAGGGUUUUACUUUCGCUAUCUUUUUUAUAUUUUUUAAUAUUUUAAUGUUAGUCUCAUGUACUUAUGUGGCACAGUUUGCUAUAAUCUCUUUACAAAAAAUAGUCUUUAGUGGUAUUUUCACUUUCUUUGAAUAUUCAAACUUUUACCUUAUGUUUGUUAUUAAUGGUGGGGGAAAGCACAAUAUCAGAUGGAGGCCGUUGUUAAUAGCUAAAGGCUGGAUUGCUUUGCAGCUCAGGUACACAUUAAAUUUCACUGUUGAACACGGAAGGAUACAAUCUUGCAGCAUGCUUUACCUUUACGCCUCGAGGUGUUUAAAGGGUGAAAUGCCUUUAGGCAUGUGAAUUUCCUGAGAACAAUACUUCCCAUGAAUUUGAAAGAGAAACUGUCUCAAAUACAUGUCAACUCUUGAGAAGCCAUUUCCCAAUAUUCCAAUGGUUGCCUCUCAAGAGGACAGAGUUGUAUGAAUUAUGGUGAAGGUUUUGGGCAAUUCUCAGUUUGACUUGCAACCGUUCCAACCAUGUAAAGUUGUCUAUGCACACAUCUUGGCUGUGGUAGGAAUGGUCCCAGAAGAUUGAGUUGCUGGAAUCUUCAAGAAGUUGCUGGAAUCUUCAAGAGAAACGUUGAAGCAUUUGUAUUUUCAAGAUUGGGAUUGAUUUACACACACCACCUCCUUUUAUAAUGAAACAUUUGGGUCCAUAGUAAGCAAAAGCACCAGCGUGGUUUUCAAACAAUUUGUGAUGAUAUUUGAGUAAAGAAGUCGUAAGAAGUACAAAUUGAAAGAACUUGGUGAUUCUCACCAGGGAGAAAUCAGAAUUGGAUGAUUUAGAACUUUGAAAAUGGUUUGUGUAUAUAUGGUUUUGGGAUUUUAGUGAGUUUUUCCAAUUGUUUCAAAUUGAUUUGAAAAUCUGAUCAGUAGGAAGGUUAUAAAAGAACAACAAAUAAUAAUACUAUAGAUUAAAUUGGUAACAUGAAAACCAUAAUAAAAUUAUAGAUUAAAUUGAUACAUAAAAACUGAUCAAUUUUUCAAAGAAUUCUUUCUAAGAGGCUUAUUUUCUUUAAUUAACCUUAAAGUUAGUGUUUGCAGAAAACAUGAAGAAAAGGUGAAAAUUGCAAACAAUUCAUUUAGAAUUGAGCUCGGCUUGUUGACACAUCCAACAUGAGUAGUUUCUUUCAAAAUAAAAAAAUCCAUUCAUUGAAAGCUUACAUGGUUGACAAAGCUUUUGCCAAUGAUUUUUGGUAGUUUUUACUGACAGAUCUAACGAUGGACAAAAGGUCAUAAAGAAAACGGGGGUGGAAGAAACCAUACUAGGACCCGACCUGGUUUGGGUUUUGUUACUUGAGGCCACGCAACCUUCCCCCAUCCUCUCUUGCCUCCUCCGCCCCUUUAUUCCUCCUCUUCCUCUGCUCAUUGCUUUACCUCUACAAGGAAGCCCUUCCGCCGAGCAGCCCUACUCCAUGCGACAUCCAGAGUUUGGCAGCUGUUGGGCAAUGCCUGGAAGAUCAGACUCCUCCUUGGUAUGGCAGCAGAUGCUAGGUUGGGGGCGCUGGGUUGUCUUGACCUGGUUAGGGUAGAUUUGGGGAUUUCUAGUUUCAUGCCCAAGUCUCGCAGCUUCUGGCUACAACUCAAGUCAAGCUUGUUCUUUUAUAGGAUGAUGUUGGCACAUUAUUUCUUC